rnacentral:rRNA from 1 species
GACGAACGCUGGCGGCGUGCUUAACACAUGCAAGUCGAACGGAAAGGCCCUGCUUUUGUGGGGUGCUCGAGUGGCGAACGGGUGAGUAACACGUGAGUAACCUGCCCUUGACUUUGGGAUAACUUCAGGAAACUGGGGCUAAUACCGGAUAGGAGCUCCUGCUGCAUGGUGGGGGUUGGAAAGUUUCGGCGGUUGGGGAUGGACUCGCGGCUCAUCAGCUUGUUGGUGGGGUAGUGGCUUACCAAGGCUUUGACGGGUAGCCGGCCUGAGAGGGUGACCGGCCACAUUGGGACUGAGAUACGGCCCAGACUCCUACGGGAGGCAGCAGUGGGGAAUAUUGCACAAUGGGCGGAAGCCUGAUGCAGCAACGCCGCGUGCGGGAUGACGGCCUUCGGGUUGUAAACCGCUUUCGCCUGUGACGAAGCGUGAGUGACGGUAAUGGGUAAAGAGGCACCGGCUAACUACGUG